rnacentral:tRNA from 1 species
GCAGAUGUAGUUUAAUGGUAGAACAUAAGCUUCCCAAGCUUAGGGCGCGGGUUCGAUUCCCGUCAUCUGCU